GACGAACGCUGGCGGUGUGCUUAACACAUGCAAGUCGAACGGAAAGGCCCUGCUUUUGUGGGGUGCUCGAGUGGCGAACGGGUGAGCAACCCGUGAGUAACCUGCCCUCGACUUUGGGAUAACUUCAGGAAACCGGGGCCAAUACCGGAUAGGGGCUCAUCCUCCAUGGUGGGGGUUGGCAUGUUUUGGGGGUUGGGGAUGGACAAUCGCCUUAUCAGCCUGUUGUUGGGGUAGUGGCUUACCAAGGCUUCGACGGGUAGCCGGCCGGAGCGGGUGACCGGCCACAUUGGGACUGAGAUACGGCCCAGACUCCUACGGGGGGCGGCAGUGGGGAAUAUUGCACAAUGGGCGGAAGCCUGAUGCAGCAACGCCGCGGGCGGGAUGAAGGCCGUCGGGUUGUAAACCGCUUUCGCCUGUGACGAAGCGUGAGUGACGGUAAUGGGUAAAGAAGCACCGGCUAACUACGUG
rnacentral:rRNA from 1 species